CCCUCCUUUUUCCUUUGGCUACAUGUGCAAGAAAAUGAGGGUGAAGGAUAAUGUUAUUAGUGUAUCAAUAACUAACAAAUUACGACACAUAAAUAAUCUAUGCAUGAAACUGUUUGAGUGGAGAAAAGAAGCGACUUCAGAGGUUGGGGGAUGUUGUGGGUCGUUGCUUCUUACGCAAGAGGUAGUUUAUGAGCAUCCCAACUAAGGGGAAACCUGUUACCACGCUUAUGUAACCAACCAACCAUAUGGAUCCUUUUCUCUGCCGGCAUAGUUUGUUAAAGCUUGUCUUUGUUACAUUAUCCUCACACUGUGGUCCGGUCUGGUUCAAUAGUUGUGUUGCUUCUUCUGAUGAUGGAGCAGUGAUAUUGGUGUUUUGCUCGUACUUGACUGCUGCCACCAACCCGUCUUCUGCAGUGUUUAGGUACGGGCCUUGGUUUAUCGAAGGCUCCUCCUGCUUCCCUGAUUCUGAGCUUCUACUUUCUUGAAUCUGCACAAAACUGAAUUGGUGACUUUCUUGUUGAUAAUCUUAGGAAGAAAUCAAUAGACUGGACGGACGAACGAUUUUGUAAUCUAGAUUUGCAAUUCCAACAAAGAGAAACUUACUUUCUGUACAUGCAUAUGACGACUGCAGCUAAGGGCGCCAAGAAACUCAUUGGUGGCCCGAACCCACCUGUACACAGCAUACAUAUAACAGUAAAAAAAGAACAAUAAGCAUAACCUGGUUCCUAAAAUUUGUAAGAAUGAAUCUUAGAGAGAUACCGACCACAAGCUAGAUGCAGUUAGUCCUUCGAAGAAUGCUAGAUGUCCCCCGUGAUUCGUUGUCGCCAAGACAAUGUUUUUGUUUGCCCUUUUCCAAAGUAACUUUAUGUCAAUACUGUGUAUAUGUAAUAGGAUUUAAGAUUUAAAAGAGAUAACGAACUAUUAUUUACCAGCAUUCCUCCCAAGGAAUAGCUUCCUUUGUGCAUAACGGAUCAUCUAGAGCACUGAUACAGAGUAGUAGGAAAGAUUACAAAUCAUAAACAUAAACGAAUUAAGAAAUAGGCAAGUUGUAGCCGUCUCUCUCUCUCCUCUCCAAGUCUCGCGGCCACCUCUCUCUCUCUAGAGUUGGACCGUCUCUCUCUAAGUGUAUGAACCGGUUAUGGACCAGACUGGUUAUGGACAUCCACCAAUUGAUUUAUAACAUUUAUUUAUUUUUGCUGUCAUACUCUGAAAAUUCCCUUACAAGAUUCCAUGUGUACAACUACAUAAUCGUCAUGGUUAUGAUAAGGAGUCUUCUUCUACACAAAUUUUCCGAGCCCUCCUUUUUCCUUUGGCUACAUGUGCAAGAAAAUGAGGGUGAAGGAUAAUGUUAUUAGUGUAUCAAUAACUAACAAAUUACGACACAUAAAUAAUCUAUGCAUGAAACUGUUUGAGUGGAGAAAAGAAGCGACUUCAGAGGUUGGGGGAUGUUGUGGGUCGUUGCUUCUUACGCAAGAGGUAGUUUAUGAGCAUCCCAACUAAGGGGAAACCUGUUACCACGCUUAUGUAACCAACCAACCAUAUGGAUCCUUUUCUCUGCCGGCAUAGUUUGUUAAAGCUUGUCUUUGUUACAUUAUCCUCACACUG
rnacentral:lncRNA from 1 species